rnacentral:rRNA from 1 species
CCUACGGGGGGCAGCAGUGGGGAAUAUUGCACAAUGGGCGCAAGCCUGAUGCAGCCAUGCCGCGUGUGUGAAGAAGGCCUUCGGGUUGUAAAGCACUUUCAGCGGGGGGGAAGGCGUUAAGGUUAAUAACCUUGUCGAUUGACGUUACCCGCAGAAGAAGCACCGGCUAACUCCGUGCCAGCAGCCGCGGUAAUACGGAGGGUGCAAGCGUUAAUCGGAAUUACUGGGCGUAAAGCGCACGCAGGCGGUCUGUCAAGUCGGAUGUGAAAUCCCCGGGCUCAACCUGGGAACUGCAUUCGAAACUGGCAGGCUAGAGUCUUGUAGAGGGGGGUAGGAUUCCAGGUGUAGCGGUGAAAUGCGUAGAGAUCUGGAGGAAUACCGGUGGCGAAGGCGGCCCCCUGGACAAAGACUGACGCUCAGGUGCGAAAGCGUGGGGAGCAAACAGGAUUAGAUACCCGAGUAGUC